UUCCAGGUGGUCCAGAGGCUAAGAGUCCGCACUCCCAAUGCAGGGAGCCCAGGAUCGAUUCCUGGCCAGGGAA
rnacentral:tRNA from 1 species